rnacentral:lncRNA from 1 species
ACUGUCCCACGACCUCUGUCUCUCUCCGAAAAAGAGAAAAUCCCCAAAUCAAAUCCAUUGAAUCGAUCUACCCUAAACCACAAACCUAAAGCGAAAUCGCCCACAUUCCAAAUCCUAAGCACAACCAAGCAGUUCUUCGGCUGCACUUCCAAAAGGGGUAACACCACGCCGUACUUUCGUCUUGGGUUUUGUUGUCGCUUGACCUCUCAUAUCCGGUCCCCAUCGAAACCACCACCAUCUCCGACCACAGUUGUCGUCGUGGUAUCGCCGCUCUGCCUCGCGACUUUGCACGCCACCACAGAAGAACCGGUCAGCUUGUUCUCCGUCCCGGAACGCCACGAAAUUAAUAUCAUUUUUCAGCUUUGCUCAGGUAGUAUGUUGUCUAUUUUAUCACAUGAGAAAUUUGUAUUCCAUCGACUUGUUGAACUGGGGCUUUCGACAAAUUGGUAUGCUGUCUAACUUGAUGUGCUUUUCAAGCCGUAAGCCUCAUACAGCUUUCCAAAACAAUGUUGCCCGGGCAAUAGAGCUUGAGUGUCUUUUCCAUGCUACCAUUUGUGUUUUUCUUUUUUUAGUCUUUUUGUUGGCUAUGACCUAUUGCCAUACACGUUGGUCAAAUGUUGCUUUCAUGUUUCUUAAGCUUCAUUUUAGUUGUAUUGGUUAUAGUUCAUUUACCUUUAUAGUAUUUGGUUUGAAAAAUGAUUUCAUUUUAGUUUUCAAUAAUCCCCACUAUGAAGAAUCUCUCUCCUUUUCGUUAGAAUUUGAAAUUUGUAGUCUAUUGACUUAUGGCUUCUUGAUGAACAGGCGUUGAAUGUUUGACAUUGAUAUGGAGCAACAAAAAGUGUCGGUGAAAGGCAAUGUCCAGCCAGAAGCAUUUCUGCACUGUUUCAAAGACUAGGAAGGUGACUUCUUUCUAGGAAGCACCCCCUUAAGAUGUUGCUUAAUAUCCUCAUUUGCUACUCUGGAUGUUCUCAGCAAACUGAUUUUGUAGAUGAGAAGUCACUGCCAGAUUAACUUUCGAUGUUCUCAGCAAACUGAUUUUGUUAUCUGCUGUUGAAUGUGUUGUAUUUAAUUAGCUUAUGGGAGGACUUCCAAUUUCACUUUUGAUUAGCUUAUGGGAGCACUUCCCGUUCUUAGCAAAAUUAUUGUCUUUUAUUUGCCCUUUGUUCUUACUAAUAUUUCAGUGCUGAAGUUUUGACUGUUUCCAC